UACGUAGGGCGCAAGCGUUAUCCGGAAUUAUUGGGCGUAAAGAGAUCGUAGGCGGUUUGUCGCGUCUGCUGUGAAAGCCCGGGGCUCAACCGUGGGUCUGCAGUGGGUACGGGCAGACUAGAGUGAUGUAGGGGAGACUGGAAUUCCUGGUGUAGCGGUGAAAUGCGCAGAUAUCAGGAGGAACACCGAUGGCGAAGGCAGGUCUCUGGGCAUUAACUGACGCUGAGGAGCGAAAGCAUGGGGAGCGAACAGG
rnacentral:rRNA from 1 species